rnacentral:ncRNA from 1 species
GGUUCGGGAGCCUUCCGGUGGGACGGAAGGCAUGAAUGGAACCCUACCGCCGCAUCGCAAUAGGCGCGCGUUCGUGACCCCCGACGAACCAGCGCC